AAAAAUUUUAAAGCACAUUCAAGAUGCUUUGGGUCUGCCUGAUCAGUACACAAUGUGUUAACAUAAUAGGGAAAUGUGCUAAACUUUUAAGAUUACUGCAACCGAGAGAUGAAAAGGAUUCAACAAGGAAACAGACCAUUUCCUCCACCAGGGUUAACUCCUACUCUGAAUCUUUGGGCUGACAAAUAAUUCUACAUGCAGUUGUCGGAGCAAUUGCCUUACCAUUUUCUCACCAGAAACUGCGUGUUGACUUGGAAGUGAAAGGGGGAGUAGGGACCGAGGGAAGAUGGCAGAGAGGAGGUGAGUUUCAGCAGGUUAAGCGUCAGCCCUGAGAAGACCAUUGGACUUCCUAGAGAAUUGUUCACCCUUCCUCGGGCAAACGCUGCCUCCGAAAGGCUCUUGAGCUGCAAGGGGAUAUGUUGGCCCAAGCUGGUGAAGUAUUUGAACGCACAUAUGGGGGGUGAAGAUGGACUGAAAACAGAAGGAUCUGUCGGAAGUCUGCUUGAGAAAUAGCGAACUCCUCCCCAGACGCCUCUAUCCCACUCCAUGCAGUUGGUGAACUGCCCUUCUUCUACCCCAGCAGAAGCCAGGAGACUCCUUCUCUUCGGAGCGGGACAUGGAGGGCAUUCCGACUGGAGGCUGUCAGGCUAAGUCGAAGGCAAAGGUAUCAUGCUGAAAAUAACGAUUAAGUGGAAAGUGACAUUCUUUACGUUGAAACCACUAAGCCUUCUUUCCCAUGGUGCUUCCAGAAUCCUGAUAUCUAGGCAGAAGUUUGGAAGAGUCUUUUCUAGGUCAUAUGAUUGGCUUAAGGGGACAAUCCUCAAACAAACCACCCCGCCGGCUAACAAUCCACAUGCUCCAAGCCCCUCCCAUAUGCACACAGUUCCAAUCAUCUUUUUAUAGCUCAAAUAUUAAAUAUGAGCAGACAAUACGGAUCACCAGGCAUUUGAGCACAUCUUCUUAUGUAAAAGAGAGCGGUCCAAUCCAACAAAGAGGAAAAAAAAGUAGAGUAAAUGACUGUGCUAUAAGAAAACAAUGUCAGAUAGUCACUGAUAUCCUAAGAAAGAUCAAGCAUUCAUGACAUAAGAAUAGGAAUUUACUCUUUUAAAAAGGAAUAUAGGAUAUUCAGAGACUAAAAAGGAGAUCUUGUAUAUUAAAAUAUAUAAUAUUUUAUAUAAAAUAAAACAAUAUUGAAA